rnacentral:rRNA from 1 species
UAGGUGGCGAGCGUUGUCCGGAAUUACUGGGUGUAAAGGGAGCGUAGGCGGGAAUGCAAGUUGAAUGUGAAAUCUACCGGCUCAACCGAUAGUUGCGUUCAAAACUGUGUUUCUUGAGUGAAGUAGAGGCAGGCGGAAUUCCUAGUGUAGCGGUGAAAUGCGUAGAUAUUAGGAGGAACACCAGUGGCGAAGGCGGCCUGCUGGGCUUUUACUGACGCUGAGGCUCGAAAGCGUGGGUAGCAAA